GCUUCCCUCUUUCUUCGUGCUUAACACAUGCAAGUCGAACGGAAAGGCUCCUGCUUGCAGGGGUACUCGAGUGGCGAACGGGUGAGUAACACGUGGGUGAUCUGCCCUGCACUUCGGGAUAAGCCUGGGAAACUGGGUCUAAUACCGGAUAGGACGAUGGUUUGGAUGCCAUUGUGGAAAGUUUUUCGGUGUGGGAUGAGCUCGCGGCCUAUCAGCUUGUUGGUGGGGUAAUGGCCUACCAAGGCGUCGACGGGUAGCCGGCCUGAGAGGGUGUACGGCCACAUUGGGACUGAGAUACGGCCCAGACUCCUACGGGAGGCAGCAGUGGGGAAUAUUGCACAAUGGGCGCAAGCCUGAUGCAGCGACGCCGCGUGGGGGAUGACGGCCUUCGGGUUGUAAACUCCUUUCGCUAGGGACGAAGCGCAAGUGACGGUACCUGGAGAAGAAGCACCGGCUAACUACGUG
rnacentral:rRNA from 1 species